UAAGAGAUGAACAACAUGGAAGGAAGGCCAUACUAAGUUUGCAUUGGAGAUGGUCACUUGCUUAGCACAUUUUCAGUUGUCAGAAUGGAAAUGAUAAAAAAAUCCUUCCUGCCAUUUUUUUUUUUUCAGAUUUCACACCAUUGUCUUUAUAAAGGAAUCAAACUAUUAAUUUUAUUUUUCUUAGAUAAUCUUUCAUAUUUCAUGGUUUUGUAGAUUAUUUACAUGCAUUUUCUGCUGGCAAAACUGAAAAAUUUUGUAACACUGACAGUUCAAAAUUGCUCUGCAUUAGUUUUCAUACAGGAUAUCAAAAGAAGCAGAAGAAAUAUUUUGAGAAUUCCAUCACCAACUCAACUGUACAUUCCUGUUAUAAAUACCUGAGAGACUAUAAGGAAACACAAAAUAAAGUGAGUGCUCUAUUGCUAAUGAGAAUUCUAACUUGUUAGUAUGUUAACCCCCUGUUUAAUCACAUUACAACAAUUUAAAUUGCUCUGAGGUGAGGGGAAAUAAAUAGGAGGGCAGGAGAAGUUGUAAGUUCUCCAAAUUUGCCCUUUGGUAAAAGACUGUCUGUGUUGGCACAGAAAUGGCUAAACAUAUGAAAAGCAAAUAAAAGAACAUGUUGAUUUUCUUUCUACAUUGGGUUGUAGAAAGGUUGUUGUUCAGAUAGCUAGGAAAAGUCACUCCACCAAAAAAAAGUCACUGUUCAUUGUAGCUGGGCAGACAUCUAUGGUGUUUGCUUAAUUACAAGUUAUAUUAAAAAUCUUAAGAAUAUUUAGAAUUUACUUUGCUAUUAAAAAUGUUUACAAAUGAAAGCAAGCACAGUUCAGCCAAAUUUUUUAUUGAGUAUUUGUUUCAAAACAGAAGUAGAAAAGCAUGUUAGACAAUGCCUCUGAUGAUUUGGUCUACAAAAUUAAGGAACUUUAAGCAGGUUUUUUCUACUCCAUGAAUAAUUGUCUUUCAUCUUUUGUUGAUAAAGGCAAUUUCUACGAAUACAAAAUUAGAGUUAUAAAAUUGACACAAUUUACAGAAAACUCCACAUUAGUACCAGAUAUUAGCAAAGCAUGUUUUGAUACAAAAGCUUUAAGACCUGGCCUCAUUUUUGUAAGACCUUUUCCCAUGCUGAGUUAACUGUUUGCAUGCAUUUUGUUUAUUGCUUUUAUAAUCCACUUUAAUAAUCAAAAGACACAUUAGGGAAAAAUGGGAAAACACAUAAAAAUCUCAGUAUAUGUAUUGUUAUAGGAUUCCUUUAAUGGGAAUGUGAUUUCUUAUAAAGAAGUCAACAUGAUCUCUAGUACGUUGCAAGAAGCUCAUAAUAUUUGCAUUUUUGCUUUUUCCAAGAGCUUCCCUUAGCCAAGUUACUAGAAGGCAUUUGGAUAUGCAAUAUAGGACAAAAAAAACCAAACAUGAUAGAUUAAUAUAAGGCAUAUUUGUUUGCUUAGAAAAGGUAAUGUUACUGAUAUUACCAAUUUAAACACAUGAGGAAUUGUGACUUAUAAAAAGCAUAUAAUACUACUGAACCAAAAGUGCUAUGUUAACAUCUCAUAUUUCCUUAGAUUACUAUAAAAGUCACCUGAGGUGAUUCUUUUUUUUCCCCUUAUAUUUCUUAUUUAGUGGAAAUAAUAAUAAUAAUAAAAAAAUACACUCUGUAUUGUUCCCUGCUCAUUUUUAAUCCAAUCCUGCAAGCACUUACUAGCCAGCAGAAGAAGGAAUCCUGGUUCUACAGAAGUUUUUGGGCUUCCAGGAUCCCAUCCUACAUUGUGCUUACUAUCAAGAGCAGUAAAAGCACCUUCAAUGGGCUGCUCCUAGUGAGCACUGUGCUGGCAGUGAGUAUCUGCAGCUUCACAUCUUUUUGUGGAUUCAUGGUUCAGUUUACAUUAUGUCAUCAAAACAAAGUCAUUUUCUAAUGUUCUCAUUAAAAAAAAAAAACAAACAAAAAA